rnacentral:lncRNA from 10 species
UGUCAGAAGAAAAGAUUACAACACAUCCCGUUUAAAGGCAAGGAAACUGCAACAAAAAGUGUCAGACCCCACACUGUGAUCUCAACACUGCUGAGCUCUGCCUGGAAUCUUGGAACUCUCCAGCGAUCUCCUCUCCUUAAGAGUGGACGUGGGAUGCCUCCACGCAUUCAGUCAAAAUAAGGUUAUGGUGUGCCUGUUGUGUGCUAGGAAUUAUCUUCUCAUCAGAAAAAGAAUCUCUCUAUGUUUUGGGAAUAAGUGAAGAACAAAAUGAUGAUG